rnacentral:rRNA from 1 species
GAUGAACGCUGGCGGCGUGCCUAAUACAUGCAAGUCGAGCGAACGGACGAGAAGCUUGCUUCUCUGAUGUUAGCGGCGGACGGGUGAGUAACACGUGGAUAACCUACCUAUAAGACUGGGAUAACUUCGGGAAACCGGAGCUAAUACCGGAUAAUAUUUUGCACCGCAUGGUUCAAAAGUGAAAGACGGUCUUGCUGUCACUUAUAGAUGGAUCCGCGCUGCAUUAGCUAGUUGGUAAGGUAACGGCUUACCAAGGCAACGAUGCAUAGCCGACCUGAGAGGGUGAUCGGCCACACUGGAACUGAGACACGGUCCAGACUCCUACGGGAGGCAGCAGUAUGGAAUCUUCCGCAAUGGGCGAAAGCCUGACGGAGCAACGCCGCGUGAGUGAUGAAGGUCUUCGGAUCGUAAAACUCUGUUAUUAGGGAAGAACAUAUGUGUAAGUAACUGUGCACAUCUUGACGGUACCUAAUCAGAAAGCCACGGCUAACUACGUG